rnacentral:rRNA from 1 species
UUCCGGUUGAUCCUGCCGGACCCGACUGCUAUUUGGGUGAGAAUAAGCCAUGCGAGUUGAAUGGGAUACCUAAAUUUUCCAUAGCAAACUGCUCAGUAACACAUGAUCAACUUACCCUAUAGAGAAAAAUAACCUCGGGAAACUGAGGAUAAUGUUUCAUAGUUGAAAAGGCUUGGAAAAGUUUUUCAAUCAAAAGGAUAAGAAAAAUGGUUCUUCUCCGCUAUAGGAUAGGAUCGUGGUCGAUUAUGGUUGUUGGUGAGGUAAUGGCUCACCAAGCCUAUAACCGGUACGGGCCGUGAGAGCGGGAGCCCGGAGAUGGGCACUGAGACAAGGGCCCAGGCCCUACGGGGCGCAGCAGUCGCGAAAACUCCGCAAUGCGCGAAAGCGUGACGGGGCUACCCCGAGUGCCGUGCGCUGAGGAUGGCUUUUUCCUGGUGUAAUGAGCGGGGGGAAUAAGGAGAGGGCAAGACUGGUGUCAGCCGCCGCGGUAAUACCAGCUCUCCGAGUGGUAGGGACGAUUAUUGGGCUUAAAGCGUCCGUAGCCGGCUUAGCAAGUCUUCUGUUAAAUUCAGCGACCCAAUCGUUGAGCCGCGGAAGAUACUGUUAGGCUAGGAGGCGGAAGAGGCCGACGGUAUUCUCGGGGUAGGGGUGAAAUCCUAUAAUCCCCGGAAGGACCACCAGUGGGCGAAUGCUGUCGGCUAGAACGCGCUCGACGGUGAGGGACGAAAGCUGGGGGAGCGAACGGGAUUAGAUACCCGGGUAGUCCCAGCUGUAAACGAUGCGGGC